GGAAAAAUGGGUUACAUACAUCCGUUGAAGUUUUAACUUUUUCAAGUUUUUGCUUCUUUGUUCUAGCAUUUCCUGUUUCCUUCGA
rnacentral:ribozyme from 14 species